AGAGUUUGAUCAUGGCUCAGGACGAACGCUGGCGGCGUGCCUAAUACAUGCAAGUCGAGCGGACAGAUGGGAGCUUGCUCCCUGAUGUUAGCGGCGGACGGGUGAGUAACACGUGGGUAACCUGCCUGUAAGACUGGGAUAACUCCGGGAAACCGGGGCUAAUACCGGAUGGUUGUUUGAACCGCAUGGUUCAAACAUAAAAGGUGGCUUCGGCUACCACUUACAGAUGGACCCGCGGCGCAUUAGCUAGUUGGUGAGGUAAUGGCUCACCAAGGCGACGAUGCGUAGCCGACCUGAGAGGGUGAUCGGCCACACUGGGACUGAGACACGGCCCAGACUCCUACGGGAGGCAGCAGUAGGGAAUCUUCCGCAAUGGACGAAAGUCUGACGGAGCAACGCCGCGUGAGUGAUGAAGGUUUUCGGAUCGUAAAGCUCUGUUGUUAGGGAAGAACAAGUACCGUUCGAAUAGGGCGGUACCUUGACGGUACCUAACCAGAAAGCCACGGCUAACUACGUGCCAGCAGCCGCGGUAAUAC
rnacentral:rRNA from 1 species